AUUGAACGCUGGCGGCAGGCCUAACACAUGCAAGUCGAACGAGUGGCGGACGGGUGAGUAAUGUCUGGGAAACUGCCCGAUGGAGGGGGAUAACUACUGGAAACAGUAGCUAAUACCGCCUACCAUCGACUGGGCCCAGAUGGGAUUAGCUAGUAGGUGGGGUAUGGUAUCACCUAGGCGACGAUCCCUAGCUGGUCUGAGAGGAUUACCAGCCACCCUGGGACUGGGACACGGUCCAGGCUCCUACGGGAGGCAGCAGUGGGGAAUAUUGCACAAUGGGCGCAAGCCUGAUGCAGACAUGCCGCGUGUAUGAAGAAGGCCUUCGGGUUGUAAAGUACUUUCAGCGGGGAGGCGUUACCCGCAGAAGAAGCACCGGCUAACUCCGUGCCAGCCGCCGCGGUAAUAC
rnacentral:rRNA from 1 species